GUCAGGAUGGCCGAGUGGUCUAAGGCGCCAGACUCAAGAGCAAUCUUGCCGAGCGAAGUACUCGGUAACUGAAGUGAGAGCGUUCUGGUCCUCUCUGAGGGCGUGGGUUCGAAUCCCACUUCUGACA
rnacentral:tRNA from 2 species